GAUGAACGCUGGCGGCGUGCUUAACACAUGCAAGUCGAACGAAACACCUUAUUUUAUUUUCUUCGGAACUGAAGAUUUGGUGAUUGAGUGGCGGACGGGUGAGUAACGCGUGGGUAACCUGCCCUGUACAGGGGGAUAACAGUCAGAAAUGACUGCUAAUACCGCAUAAGACCACAGCACCGCAUGGUGCAGGGGUAAAAACUCCGGUGGUACAGGAUGGACCCGCGUCUGAUUAGCUGGUUGGUGAGGUAACGGCUCACCAAGGCGACGAUCAGUAGCCGGCUUGAGAGAGUGAACGGCCACAUUGGGACUGAGACACGGCCCAAACUCCUACGGGAGGCAGCAGUGGGGAAUAUUGCACAAUGGGGGAAACCCUGAUGCAGCGACGCCGCGUGAGUGAAGAAGUAUUUCGGUAUGUAAAGCUCUAUCAGCAGGGAAGAAAAUGACGGUACCUGACUAAGAAGCCCCGGCUAACUACGUG
rnacentral:rRNA from 1 species